rnacentral:lncRNA from 1 species
UGAAGAAAGCAUAGUUCCGAUAAAAAUGGAGAACUUGGUUAGGAGUUGUUUGUUUUGAUGAUUGGGACAAGUUGGUUAGGUAAAAUGAUAUUCUUUUGCAUUUAUACUCUUUAAAUGACAUACUCUUCGUUACACUAGCCUAACGGCUCUUCUAAAUUAGGUUGCAUAUUGAAUACAAGAUCUUGUAGACGGGAUGGAAGUUUUGCAGAUUGUGUUCUUAUGCUUUUAUUUGGUCAGCUCUCAAUAAGAAUGACUUCAUAUUUCAGUCUUUUUUGUUGAUACUUGUUGUAAAUAUUAGAUUGUAAAUAGUAAUUAUUUCUAUUAGUAAUGAGGCCCAUUAGAUUUUCUAUUCUCUCUUAUUUAAAGCAUGUAGAUGUAACAUGUAAGAAUCACUUUUUAAUAUAUCAGUAAAAU